rnacentral:snoRNA from 1 species
CAGCUAGGAUGAUUACCCCAUUUGUCUUGACUUUUCCUGGAAGUUAACAAAGACCUUUUUAACCCUGAGCUGA